AUCCAACUGACGAGUCCCAAAUGGGACGAAGCAUGCGUCUUGGAU
rnacentral:hammerhead_ribozyme from 1 species